AGAGAAAGAAAGAACAAAAAAAAAAAGAGAAAAGAGUGGAAGGGCAUUCGGCCCUAAGCCAAGAAAAUUGGCUUCAUGGAAAUUGAUCUAGAAAAAAUUAUUUCUCCUAGUAUUUCAACCAAAUGGAAGGUCCUCUUUAACAUGGAGUGGUUGUUGAAGCAAGAAAAUCUCUCCUUGUUGCAAGUUCACAAUCACGGCCAAGUGAGAAAGUAAGGGAAAAAGAUUUUGGGAAGUUCGGAACUUGAAAUUGGAGAAGCGUAAGAAGCGGAAAAGGUACACCCAGAUGAGUAGAAGACAUUGCUAGAAGAUGUUCCAGUGGGAUUGGCGAGCUCCAUUUCCUUCCGAAGUGUUGUCGAGUCUGAGUAUUCGUGAUUAUGGUAUUCUGUCUAUAUUAGAGACUUUGCAGACAGCGUCCUGUGGUACGUUUGUCGAGAUGUCGACAGAGUGAUGUCAGCUGGACCAUCAGUGUAUGUUAAAAGAACAUGUAUUUUAGAUGAUUUCAAUUGGGUUAAAGUACUUAGUUGACUGAAGGUUUUCAUAAUCUGUAUAAAGAUAAUGACAUCUAUUUGGGAAAGUUUCAUGUU